GCCCAAUGAUGAUACCAAGGCGAAUGUGAGCUUACUGGAUGCGAGUCUGAGUUCUCCUGUGUUCCUAUUGGCUGGUAAUCUUGACAGGGCAGUGGAGAUUGGCUGCUCUGUUGUAAGGGCCAACCUACAGUCAUCAAGCACCUUCACUCGCACUCUUCUCUAGAGUAAUGCUGGGGAGAGAGUGAAGGGGCGGACAGUGUGUGUGUGUGUGUGUGUGUGUGGGGACUCGGAGGGAAUCUCAGCUCUGCUGUGUCCAGUAGCCUAUGAACUGCAUCUUUGGUAAUCUGAGGGUA